GGGGGGGAUUUGGGGCAUGGGCGAGCCUGAUCCAGCAUGCCGCGUGAGUGAUGAAGGCCUUAGGGUUGUAAGCUCUUUUACCAGGGAUGAUAAUGACAGUACCUGGAGAAUAAGCUCCGGCUAACUCCGUGCCAGCAGCCGCGGUAAUACAAGU
rnacentral:rRNA from 1 species